rnacentral:rRNA from 1 species
CUACAGGCUUAACACAUGCAAGUCGAGGGGCAGCAUUUCAGUUUGCUUGCAAACUGGAGAUGGCGACCGGCGCACGGGUGAGUAACACGUAUCCAACCUGCCGAUAACUCGGGGAUAGCCUUUCGAAAGAAAGAUUAAUACCCGAUGGUAUAAUCAGACCGCAUGGUUUGAUUAUUAAAGAAUUUCGGUUAUCGAUGGGGAUGCGUUCCAUUAGGCAGUUGGUGAGGUAACGGCUCACCAAACCUUCGAUGGAUAGGGGUUCUGAGAGGAAGGUCCCCCACAUUGGAACUGAGACACGGUCCAAACUCCUACGGGAGGCAGCAGUGAGGAAUAUUGGUCAAUGGGCGCAGGCCUGAACCAGCCAAGUAGCGUGAAGGAUGACUGCCCUAUGGGUUGUAAACUUCUUUUAUAUGGGAAUAAAGUUUUCCACGUGUGGAAUUUUGUAUGUACCAUAUGAAUAAGGAUCGGCUAACUCCGUGCCAGCAGCCGCGGUAAUACGGAGGAUCCGAGCGUUAUCCGGAUUUAUUGGGUUUAAAGGGAGCGUAGGUGGACAGUUAAGUCAGUUGUGAAAGUUUGCGGCUCAACCGUAAAAUUGCAGUUGAUACUGGCUGUCUUGAGUACAGUAGAGGUGGGCGGAAUUCGUGGUGUAGCGGUGAAAUGCUUAGAUAUCACGAAGAACUCCGAUUGCGAAGGCAGCUCACUGGACUGCAACUGACACUGAUGCUCGAAAGUGUGGGUAUCAAACAGGAUUAGAUACCCUGGUAGUCCACACAGUAAACGAUGAAUACUCGCUGUUUGCGAUAUACAGUAAGCGGCCAAGCGAAAGCAUUAAGUAUUCCACCUGGGGAGUACGCCGGCAACGGUGAAACUCAAAGGAAUUGACGGGGGCCCGCACAAGCGGAGGAACAUGUGGUUUAAUUCGAUGAUACGCGAGGAACCUUACCCGGGCUUAAAUUGCAUUUGAAUAUAUUGGAAACAGUAUAGUCGUAAGACAAAUGUGAAGGUGCUGCAUGGUUGUCGUCAGCUCGUGCCGUGAGGUGUCGGCUUAAGUGCCAUAACGAGCGCAACCCUUAUCUUUAGUUACUAACAGGUCAUGCUGAGGACUCUAGAGAGACUGCCGUCGUAAGAUGUGAGGAAGGUGGGGAUGACGUCAAAUCAGCACGGCCCUUACGUCCGGGGCUACACACGUGUUACAAUGGGGGGUACAGAAGGCAGCUACCUGGUGACGGGAUGCUAAUCCCAAAAGCCUCUCUCAGUUCGGAUCGAAGUCUGCAACCCGACUUCGUGAAGCUGGAUUCGCUAGUAAUCGCGCAUCAGCCAUGGCGCGGUGAAUACGUUCCCGGGCCUUGUACACACCGCCCGUCAAGCCAUGAAAGCUGGGGGUACCUGAAGUACGUAACCGCAAGGAGCGUCCUAGGGUAAAACUGGUAAUUGGGGCUAAGUCAUAACA